rnacentral:rRNA from 1 species
UACAUGGGGUGCAAACGUUGCUCGGAAUUAUUGGGCGUAAAGCGCGCGUAGGCGGUUAUCUAAGUCGAAUGUGAAAGCCCCCGGCUCAACUGGGGAGGGUCAUUCGAUACUGAUCGACUUGAAGGCAGGAGAGGGUAGUGGAAUUCCCGGUGUAGUGGUGAAAUGCGUAGAUAUCGGGAGGAACACCUGUGGCGAAAGCGGCGCACUGGACCACAACUGACGCUGAGGCGCGAAAGCUAGGGGAGCAAACAGG